rnacentral:rRNA from 1 species
UGGGGAAUAUUGGACAAUGGGCGGAAGCCUGAUCCAGCCAUGCCGCGUGUGUGAAGAAGGCCUUUUGGUUGUAAAGCACUUUAAGCGAGGAGGAGGCUACUUGGAUUAAUACUCUAGGAUAGUGGACGUUACUCGCAGAAUAAGCACCGGCUAACUCUGUGCCAGCAGCCGCGGUAAUAAAGAGGGUGCGAGCGUUAAUCGGAUUUACUGGGCGUAAAGCGGGCGAAGGCGGCUGCUUAAGUCGGAUGUGAAAUCCCUGAGCUUAACUUAGGAAUUGCAGUCGAUACUGGGAAGCUAGAGUAUGGGAGAGGAUGGUAGAAUUCCAGGUGUAGCGGUGAAAUGCGUAGAGAUCUGGAUGAAUACAGAUGGCGAAGGCAGGCAUCUGGCCUAAUACUGACGCUGAGGUACGAAAGCAUGGGGAGCAAGCAGG